rnacentral:rRNA from 1 species
UACGGGGGGGGUAAGCGUUGUUCGGAAUUACUGGGCGUAAAGGCUCGUAGGCGGCCAACUAAGUCAGACGUGAAAUCCCUCAGCUUAACUGGGGAACUGCGUCUGAUACUGGAUGGCUUGGAUCCGGGAGAGGGAUGCGGAAUUCCAGGUGUAGCGGUGAAAUGCGUAGAUAUCUGGAGGAACACCGGUGGCGAAGGCGGCAUCCUGGACCGGUAUUGACGCUGAGGAGCGAAAGCCAGGGGAGCAAAGCGGG